GCCUUCCGCCGGCGGCGUGGCGGGAGGACGGAGCUGAGGAAGAAGACGGCCACGAUGGCCGCCAAUGCCAUGGCCACGGACACCGUUGCCGCGAGCUCCAUCGCUGGAAAUGGAAGCCUUGGACUUGGAGAGUGUGGUACGAUGAGGUGGUGUUUCAUGGUGACACAUAUAUAAAGAGGGAAUUCCUUUUUUUUCAGAUUUACUACUCUUCAAAUGCUUGAUUUUUAGAUAUCUCUCAAUCACCAACAUUAUACCAGAAAUUGAAUUGGUGAUUGGAAUUUCAGGUUAGGGUUUGGGAGUUUGGGGUGGGGGAUUUACCUGUGACCCUCGGGUCUAGAGGAAGCUUCAGGGAGGCUCGCCGGCUGGCGGUGGAGGUUGGAGAG
rnacentral:lncRNA from 1 species